GAUGAACGCUAGCUACAGGCUUAACACAUGCAAGUCGAGGGGCAGCAUGAUUGAAGCUUGCUUCAAUCGAUGGCGACCGGCGCACGGGUGAGUAACACGUAUCCAACCUGCCGAUAACUCGGGGAUAGCCUUUCGAAAGAAAGAUUAAUACCCGAUAGUAUAGUAUUUCCGCAUGGUUUCACUAUUAAAGAACUUCGGUUAUCGAUGGGGAUGCGUUCCAUUAGAUAGUUGGCGGGGUAACGGCCCACCAAGUCAACGAUGGAUAGGGGUUCUGAGAGGAAGGUCCCCCACAUUGGAACUGAGACACGGUCCAAACUCCUACGGGAGGCAGCAGUGAGGAAUAUUGGUCAAUGGACGAGAGUCUGAACCAGCCAAGUAGCGUGAAGGAUGACUGCCCUAUGGGUUGUAAACUUCUUUUAUACGGGAAUAAAGUGGAGUAUGCAUACUCCUUUGUAUGUACCGUAUGAAUAAGGAUCGGCUAGCUCCGUG
rnacentral:rRNA from 1 species